GCGGGCUUGGCCGAGUGGCUAGGCUGCAGCCUUCCAAGCUGUCCACGCCGGUUCGAUCCCGGCAGCCCGCUCCA
rnacentral:tRNA from 1 species